rnacentral:rRNA from 1 species
AUACGAACUGUGCGAACGUUAUUCGGAAUCACUGGGCUUAAAGGGUGCGUAGGCGGUUUUCUAAGUCACGUGUGAAAUCUUCCGGCUCAACCGGAAAACUGCGCGUGAUACUGGAUAACUUGAGUGAGGUAGGGGUGUGUGGAACUUCCGGUGGAGCGGUGAAAUGUGUAGAGAUCGGAAGGAACGCCAGCAGCGAAAGCGGCACACUGGGCCUUUUCUGACGCUGAGGCACGAAAGCUAGGGGAGUGAACGGGAUUAGAUACCCCGGUAAUCCUAGCCGUAAACACUGAACACUGGAGGACGGGGGCUUCGGCCUUCGUUCUCGUAGCGAAAGCGUUAAGUGUUCCGCCUGGGGAGUAUGGUCGCAAGGCUGAA